UCCAAACCGCCCGAGUCCCCAUCAGAGCCCUCUCUCUCCAAGCCCAUCGCUGCUCCAUCUUGCUUUUCGCCUACUUCCCUGGCCUGCCACUUCACCUUCAGCACUCGCGAGGGUCCACACCACCUUCUUCGCCACCGGCUUCACCACCAGCAUGCUCUUCCGCUUGCUCCAAGACGUGCAGCUACACCGAAGUGCCGGUGUGAAUUGCUUCUUCCUACCAAGCCCGGCGACCCCAUUCAACCAGUUCAUGGCUUUUCGUCGAUCGCUGUCGCGUCUGUUUUUUUAUCGUGACUGUAAUAAUGCUUCAUACACAUGGAGCGCCCACUCUCCUUUCCGCUCUAUUCCCGGUUUACUGACCGAAAUUGUUUUCUGUUUCCAUGUACUGUGGGCAGGCUGAACGCCUGUUAUAGUCUUCCUCUGCUCCAUGGAGCAACCUGAAUUGUUUGCAGACGUUCAACUGUCUUAUGGCCUUCAGGUGACAUCUUGUUCUCCAUUUUUAUACCGUCAUUUUGGUUUGUUAGUCAACGCCAUUGUCUCUGAUUUUCUAUUGAUACUUGAUCUAUUUUAGGACCUUGAAGUGUAACUUUGCUCUUCUUUCAAAGUAUUGCUUGCAUUCAUGAAAUUAACGUUGUAAACAGAGCCCUGAGUUCUCUGCCCUCCACAUGUUUCGCAUAAUGUUCUCUUGAUUGUUGUACUUAAAUUAUGACUACGUCCCUUUUCAAUAAAGGAAUUUCUUACAAGACCUUUUGACACAAUAUACUUUGGAUAUGUUCACGGAUCAUGAUUCUGUCCAUACUAAUGUGUAUUUAGUUAUUUCUGUCCCCAAGUGAUUUCUUUUUGGCAACGAAAUAAACAGAGGCAUUAUAGAAGUGCUUAACUUUUGAGCCGUAUUAUAAUAUUCUGUGCUCAAUUUGGUGACCACUAUAUUUGUACAAACAUUAUUUGCUGAUGAUAGCCUCGUGACAGAUAGCCUGAGCAUUAAAGUAUGGAAAUUAUUGGAUCUUUCCAGCCUUAAAAGAUUAUCAGAAUUGCAUUCAUUUAACACAAAAUUUUGGUCACAUUUCAUAUUCUCCGAUAGUGCAUAUAAAGAACUUUCCUUCAUGGCCUUUUUCCUGGUAGAGGUAGUCCAUGAUCCUCACUUGGGUUUGUUAUUGACGGAUUGUUUGAUGAAGUUAACUUGUAGAUAAAUGGUUUUCCAUAUGCUUUUCAUUGGCUUUGUCCUUUCAGAAAGGGAGGGCGUGAGUGUGGGUGCCUCCCAGUUUUCGCAGGGGCAGGUUAUGAAAAAGUCUGUGGCCAUUAUCUAUGCUGUUGCGUGCAUGCUAUUCUACAUAAAAUGGCUCAAGUAAAAUACGUCUCCAGCCAUGUUCUGUGCUAUUCUACAUGCAACCAUGGUAAUUUUGAGAUCAUGCUCUGGUACUUUCUGGGUUAAAGUAUUAUAUGUAAAGCUUGGUACUUGCAGUGUGUACAAGAAUAAUGUCAAGCGGAGUGAGCCUCCUGAGGGGUUUUGUAAAAGGAAAGCUACAAUAAUAGUAGAGAGCCCUAACGGAUUGAGCCUCUGGUUGCUCAAAGCUAUUUGAUAUGGAAUAAAAAAGUGGUCCAUUUUUCAAGCUUCUUUAACGAUAAUUUUGGCUUUCUAUAAAUGGGGCAUUCAAGUAUCUUAUAUAGCUUAAAUUCGCUCUAUCUCAGUGCUUGAUCUUUUCUGCAGCUAAAUCCAAAAGUACAAGUUUGAUUUUCUUCUUUACCUAUUAGCGUAAGUUGCUUUUGCUUGUUAGGGAGUCCAAGUAACGCGACUUACAGUUUUCAACUUCUGUUGGACAAAACCAUGGGUUUAAGACACUCGCUAAUUUUUCACAUCCAUAGUCAAUAGUUUUCUCUUUUGCUUUAUGUGCUUGCUAUUAUUUCGUGAACUGCUAUGCCAUUACUUACCCUUGCUUUUUGCUAAAGAAACUACUACUACCACAACCAUGUAACGAUGAUAUAAGGUUAAGGAAAUCACUGAUCUUACAGUUGAUUUAUUCAUUGGUUUUGCCUAGGCCUCAUUGCUUUUUCAUGGUUCGUUGGUGUUCGGUCAUACCAUAUUAUCUUUCACUUUCACGCCAUUUGAUUGAUCAUACCAUAUUAUCUUUCACUUUUGCAUAGGCCUCAUUGCUUUUUUUAGUAUGACUCCAUGAGUGGAAUUCGGGAUGGUUUAAAGCUUAUCUCCAAUUUGGAUUUUUUUUUUUGGGUAUCGGUCUUAUCCAACCAUUGAGGAUGGGUCCGAUGAUGGCCCUUUGAUCCCAGCAAUACAAUGUUUUACACUAGGUAUGCUGAUUAUACAAUAUAAAUUAAAAAAACUGCUCCAAAGUGUGAUAUGUUGAUAAGAGAUUUUUAACUUUUAGUUCGUGGAGCUGCUUAUAAAUUGGUUAUUAUCCUAAAUAGUUUUGGUUAGUUCUCUUUUUACCUAAUUAAUUGAACCUGAUCUUUUUUAUAAGGCAGAAAGAAAUAUAAUGACAUCAGCUUUGUUGCCUUUUUUCAUGGCCUAUGUUCAAUACUUUUGUUGUUGUUGGUCAGCUUAUAAAAAAUGGUUGUGGCUUUUAUGUUUCAAUGGAGAUUGUUCAUUAUUUUUAUGGAUGUAUUGGCUUAAAAAUGAACUAUUAUUCUUGGCCUUUAGCUCUAGAUACAAUAAUAUAAAUGAGACUGUGAUGUAAAAAGUAGAGAAUUAAUUCAUACGUGAGGCAGCAAUACCAAUUUUGGAAGGUUAUGAAACAGCUUGAAUAAUUUAUGUAGGGGGGGGGGGGGAUUGGGGGAGAGGCCAUGACCUGUUUCUUCCAACCUUUUUUGGGAUUACAAGAAGAGAGGAUCAUAAACGAAGUCUUUGAAUUGCACCGGCAGAGCAAGAUAUAACAAUGUUAAGUUUAGGACUCA